rnacentral:rRNA from 1 species
UUACUGGGCGUAAAGACGCAUGCAGGCGGCCUGUUAAGUACAGAUGUGAAAGACCCGGGGCGUUAACCUCGGAAAUUGCAUUUGUAAACUAGGCAGGCUAGAGUCUUGUAGAGGGGGGUAGGAAGUUUCAGGUGUAGCGGUGAAAUAGCGUAGAGAUCUGAAGGAAUACCAGUGGCGAAGGCGGCCCCCUCGGACAAAGACUGACGCUCAGAUGCGAAAGCGUGGGGAGCAAACAGGAUUAGAUACCCUGGUAG